rnacentral:rRNA from 1 species
AACGAACGCUGGCGGCGCGUUUUAAACAUGCAAGUCGAACGAGAAUCCCGGUGCUUGCAUUGGGAGGAGAGUGGCGAACGGGUGAGUAACACGUGGAUAAUCUACCUCCAGGAUUGGGAUAACUACUCGAAAGGGGUGCUAAUACCGGAUAAGCCCACGGAGACUACGGUUUUUGCGGGAGAAGGGGGGGACCUUUUGGCGGUCUGUCGUCAGAUGAGUGCGCGUACCAUUAGCUAGUUGGUAGGGUAAGGGCCUACCAAGGCUACGAUGGUUAGCUGGUUUGAGAGAAUGAUCAGCCACACUGGAACUGAGACACGGUCCAGACUCCUACGGGAGGCAGCAGUGGGGAAUUUGCGCAAUGGGCGAAAGCCUGACGCAGCAACGCCGCGUGAGUGAUGAAGGCUUUCGGGUCGUAAAGCUCUGUCAGAGGGAAAGAAGUGUAUUGGGGCUAAUAUCCGCGAUACCUGACGGUACCCUCAAAGGAAGCACCGGCUAACUCCGUGCCAGCAGCCGCGGUAAGAC